GACGAACGCUGGCGGCGUGCUUAACACAUGCAAGUCGAACGGAAAGGCCCUGCUUUUGUGGGGUGCUCGAGUGGCGAACGGGUGAGUAACACGUGAGUAACCUGCCCUUGACUUUGGGAUAACUUCAGGAAACUGGGGCUAAUACCGGAUAGGAGCUCCUGCUGCAUGGUGGGGGUUGGAAAGUUUCGGCGGUUGGGGAUGGACUCGCGGCUUAUCAGCUUGUUGGUGGGGUAGUGGCUUACCAAGGCUUUGACGGGUUCCUGGCCUGAGAGGGUGACCGGCCACAUUGGGACUGACAUACGGCCCAGACUCCUACGGGAGGCAGCAGUGAGGAAUAUUGCACAAUGGGCGGAAGCCUGAUGCAGCAACGCCGCGUGCGGGAUGACGGCCUUCGGGUUGUAAACCGCUUUCGCCUGUGACGAAGCGUGAGUGACGGUAAUGGGUAAAGAAGCACCGGCUAACUACGUG
rnacentral:rRNA from 1 species